AACGAAAAAACGUUUAGAAUAUAUAUUAUAUAUGAAAUCUAUAAAAUUAAAUAACUAUUAGGGACAAUGUCCCACAUCGGAAGUUGAGUAGGAUCUUAAGUGGUAUAUAUAAGAUAUGGGCCUCUCCUCCUAUUGCCAAUUGGUUUUAGGUUGGAAGCCCACAGUCUAAUAUGGUAGCAGAGCCCGGUCCGCACAUACUCAACCCGAUCCACAUCGGGCCGGCCCAAUACUUGGCCCGCCGAUCCAUGCCCAAACAUAUCGAGAUCAAUGGCUAGAAGAGCCAUCAUCUCGAGGGGGCGUAUUAGGGACAAUGUCCCACAUCGGAAGUUGAGUAGGAUCUUAAGUGGUAUAUAUAAGAUAUGGGCCUCUCCACCUAUUGCCAAUUGGUUUUAGGUUGGAAGCCCACAGUCUAAUAAUAACUAUUUCAAAAGAAAACUUUUAAAUUGAUUUGAAUUAUAAAUCUUUUAAUAAAAAUA
rnacentral:sRNA from 1 species